AGCGAACGCUGGCGGCAGGCCUAACACAUGCAAGUCGAACGGAUCCUUCGGGAUUAGUGGCGGACGGGUGAGUAACACGUGGGAACGUGCCCUUUGGUUCGGAACAACUCAGGGAAACUUGAGCUAAUACCGGAUAAGCCCUUCGGGGGAAAGAUUUAUCGCCAUUGGAGCGGCCCGCGUAGGAUUAGCUAGUUGGUGGG
rnacentral:rRNA from 1 species